GGGGAACGCGGGGAGCCGGGCGGUGACUGUUCUGAGCGUGCGAAAGCCGCCGGCUCGGAAGAAAUCCCCCUCCUCCAGCUGUGAAGAUCCUCACUGCGAGGUCGUUGCCUAUUAACGCAGUGUGCUCGAGAUUAGUGAGGUUCAUAAUGUAUUGUACAAAUUGAAUACCAGAUGAUGAAUUGACAUUAGCUUCUCUGGGCUUGGGAACUUAACAGAUGAGGGCUAAAAAGAAGAUGUCCUGUGAUCCAUAUUCAACCCUGUUGAAUGGAGAAACAAGAUGGAAGGACCCUGUAUGACUGUAUGGAGCAGCCUGGAACUCAGACACUAAAUUAAGAAAUGAAUUUCUGGGGAAUGAAUUUCUGAGCCUGGGUGACUCAGUCGGUUAAACAUUUGACCCUUGCUUUUGGCUCAGGUCAUGAUCUCGUGGUUUCUGGGUUUGAGCCCUGCAUUGGGCUCUGCAGCUGGCAGUGCAGAGCCUGCUUGGGAUUCUCUCUCUUUACUUCUCUCUGCCCCUACCCUGCUCCUGCUGUCUCUCUCAAAAUAAAUAAAUAAACU